CCAUAUGUGCCGGCGUCUUUGGUUCAAUCUCGCAAUUUUGUAGUUCUUCAUCAUAAACCCCAGAAGCCCCGACGCCAAAACCCCAAAAGCGUUGAUAGCCGGAGAGCGAGGAAUGGGAAAAGCUGAGAAAGAGAGACUGAAUCAAACUCUUAAUUCACACCUCAACACCAUUCAUGAGACCCUCCAGUUGUUGGAUCAGACACCAGCUUCAUCACUGGAUAAAGUGAGCUGGGAAGAAGUUGUGAAAACGGGUGACCAAGUCUCCAAGCAAGCUACUAUUGUUGGAAUGCUUUGGACUGGGGAAAAACCGGAAUUGAAGGCUGUUGAGGAGAACAUGGCAGCAUACUUCAACACACUGCAGGGUUUCCUUUUGCUUUCUCAUGGAAGUACAGUGGGUGCUGGGCCUACUCUUUCUUCCUGUAUCCAUGCUUCUGUCAAACAAGUAGUUGAUUGUAGCUUUAAGUUGAUGAUGGAAACUGUGUCUUCAUAUGGAUCUCACAAUAAAGACUUAAAACUUGAAGUCCCUCGGUUAGUUGGUUCAGUAUGGGAAGCAUGUUCUGCUCUUAAGAAGACCCCUGCCACAAAUAUCACAGCAAUUGGG
rnacentral:misc_RNA from 1 species